GGGGAUGAUCGGUUUCGACAAUAGGAAUCAUCUUAUAUAUGCAUGUAAAGUACUCAGGAAUCUUUUAAAACUUCUUGGAAAAGACUAAGUGCAAACAAAGUCGCAAAAGUAAAGUCUCCAUACUUCGGUAUGAACAGCUUUGCUUUCGCUUUCGCCUAAUUUAGGCCCGAGCGAUGUCUGCCCUCUUUACAUCCGAUACAGAGGGUGGGCAUAAUUCAUCGGAUUACGAAUUUACAACCGCUUGCUGUAAAUUCCGACAAUUUAAAGCUCGGUGUUUAUUUUUCUUGUAUGUUCUCUAGAAUAAACAUUUAAACCCAAGUUGAACACUCUAAACAUGUAGACUUCUAUAAGAUUUCCCCUUGCACGCGGGUCCGAUUCCCGCCAUCUCCACAA
rnacentral:tmRNA from 4 species